rnacentral:lncRNA from 1 species
UGGACAAUUGCAUGAAAAGUAAAAGGGGAAGCUUGAAAAGAACUUGAAAAUAGAUUAAAAAUGAGAAAGCUUGAAAACAAAAAUUUUAGACUAGUUUGUCACUUUAUCCAAGCUUAACUAGAAAAUACAAGAAAAUUUAGCUCUAAGUCAAAACUAGAAGAAAAAAAAAGAAUCGAGAAAAAUGGGAUGAUUUACAAGUGAGCUUAAAGUGUCUAUUUAUAGUAAAGGGCCAUAGGAAGAGGGAUGAACUUAGAUAACUCUAGCUUGGCUGAAACUCUUUAUUUGAAUUUGAAAGUGUUCUUGUUUUGGUGAAUCUCAAAUGGUGACUAGGAGUGAGGUCGCUUUGGCGGAUGCUUGUGUGGUCGAAUGGUUCGCUCAGAUUGUUCCAUGUGUGUAGUGUAUGCCUUGUUAUCCAUGUCACAUCAUUUAAAUUUAAAUUUCCUAAGAUUGAGGUAGGAGAUUUAGCCAUGAUUUGAAAUUGAUGCACAAUCUUUCUUUGAUCUCUUCUGAUUGCUUCUAAACUCUUUUGAAUUCCAAUGGUUUUUUACUUAAAGCAAACUGCUUCUUCUUUCAUGAGUUGAACCCUUUAUAAACAAUGGGGCAUCUUAGAUUAAAUCUUCAAAUGGGCUAGAGAUGUUGGCCAAAUUGGAUUGUCACCUUUGCAUGGCUUGCAUGCAUUUCAUGUAUUUUAUGCAUAAUUUUGUCUUUUCUGCUCUAAUUUGUGCCAAAAGUCAUUUUCCUCCAAAUUUUCGUACAAAAUUGAAAAUGAGACACCUUAGAAGAAAAAUGAGAAAAGAUUUAGCAAAGAUAACAAAAAUUUACUAAGUUUAAGCUCAAAAUUACCACAUGAAAUACCCUAAUUUUUAAAGUCAUCACACCUCCACACUUAGAUUUGUGCUUGUCCUUAAGCAAAACAAUCCCAAAUUAAUCAUGCUAACAAUCAAAAUAUAUGGACUCAAAGUCAAAGUCUUAUAAGUUUCCAAUCAUGCACUAUGGUAAAAUUUAUGGACAAUUAUGAACAUAGAUAGAACAUAAAACUUAUUCAAGAGUAAGAUUCUAAUUUCUUGCAACUUCCAUGUGUGUGUGUUUAAUCUAUAUCUCUAAUAAAUGCGUGCAAUCUAAGAAAAAAGUAUGUAAAAUAUGCCAUCUCAUAUUAAUUUAAAGAUAGAGCAUAUUUCAUAAGUUUACUUUCCUCAUUCUCUUUUUAUUAAUGUAAACUUACAUACUUAACUUGAGAUCAAUAGGUCUUUAUUGGCUUGUAAUGUGAGAAUUGGGUCAAAGGUAUGAGAAAAGAUAUUUUAGGCUUGAGAACCCUUUGCUUAUGCAUCUUGGAUCUUUCUUGGACUUGAAAAAUUUUUGAAACUAUUCAAGGUUAAGGCACCUUUCUUAUUUGGAGUUUUUUUCAAGGAUGAUGCCCAUUCACAACUUGGGUUUUUUUUGUUCUUUUGACUUUUUAUUUAUUCAUUUUUUUUGCAUAGCCAUUUUUUGGCUUUUAUUUUUACAACUUCAUUUUUUUUUCAAUCUUCCUUUUACCUCUCUACCUCCCAAAUAUAUAUAGUUCUCUUACUUUAGUCACUGGUAUCCAUAAGUAUAGAGGCUUAGGUGAGUAAAGGAUAGAUAAAUCAUAAGGUAGCGUUUGGUAUCUUUUGCAAGAUCACCAUGGUAAUGUAAUUACUAGGGUGGUCUUAACACUUAUAAUUUGAAAUCAUUUUAUUUGGUUAACAAUGAUUAUUUCUUAGGAAUUAAAAAUUAUUAUGUUUGGUAAUACCAAAAAUCAAACAUUAUUUUUUUUAAAGUACAAAGAAAACCAUGCACAUUGUAAUAGUUACACAAAUUAAUAACUUUAAGGUUGUUU